GACGAACGCUGGCGGCGUGCUUAACACAUGCAAGUCGAACGGAAAGGCCCUGCUUUUGUGGGGUGCUCGAGUGGCGAACGGGUGAGUAACACGUGAGUAACCUGCCCUUGACUUUGGGAUAACUUCAGGAAACUGGGGCUAAUACCGGAUAGGAGCUCCUGCUGCAUGGUGGGGGUUGGAAAGUUUCGGCGGUUGGGGAUGGACUCGCGGCUUAUCAGCUUGUUGGUGGGGUAGUGGCUUACCAAGGCUUUGACGGGUAGCCGGCCUGAGAGGGUGACCGGCCACAUUGGGACUGAGAUACGGCCCAGACUCCGACGGGAGGCAGCAGUGGGGAAUAUUGCACAAUGGGCGGAAGCCUGAUGCAGCAACGCCGCGUGCGGGAUGACGGCCUUCGGGUUGUAAACCGCUUUAGCCUGUGACGAAGCGUGAGUGACGGUAAUGGGUAAAGAAGCACCGGCUAACUACGU
rnacentral:rRNA from 1 species